CCUACGGUGUGCAGCAGUGAGGAAUCUUGGUCAAUGGGCGGAAGCCUGAACCAGCCAAGUCGCGUGAGGGACUAAGGCCCUACGGGUCGUAAACCUCUGUUGCCGGGGAUCAGUGCCCAGCUCGCGAGCUGGGAGGGAGCGUACCCGGAGAAAAAGCAUCGGCUAACUCCGUGCCAGCAGCCGCGGUAAUACGGAGGAUGCGAGCGUUAUCGGGAUUUAUUGGGUUGAAAGGGGGCGUAGGCGGGCCUUCAGGCCGGCGGUAAAAUUGCGGGGCUCAACCCCGCCGAGCCGUCGGAACCGGGAGCAUUGAGUACCGGAGAAGUACGCGGAAGGCGUGGUGUAGAGGUGAAAUGCAUAGAUA
rnacentral:rRNA from 1 species